rnacentral:rRNA from 1 species
UGGGGAAUAUUGGGCAAUGGGGGAAACCCUGACCCAGCAAUGCCGCGUGAGGGAAGAAGGUUUUCGGAUUGUAAACCUCUGUCCUUGGGGAAGAAACAAAUGACGGUACCCAAGGAGGAAGCCCCGGCUAACUACGUGCCAGCAGCCGCGGUAAUACGUAGGGGGCAAGCGUUGUCCGGAAUGACUGGGCGUAAAGGGCGCGUAGGCGGCGGUAUAAGUUUGGAGUGAAAUACCUAUUUUCAAGGUAGGCAUUGCUUUGAAAACUGUACGGCUUGAGUGCGGAAGAGGCAAGUGGAAUUCCCAGUGUAGCGGUGAAAUGCGUAGAGAUUGGGAGGAACACCAGUGGCGAAGGCGACUUGCUGGGCCGCAACUGACGCUGAGGCGCGAGAGCGUGGGGAGCAAACAGGAUUAGAUACCCGCGUAGUCC